GUUUUUUUUUUUUUUUUUUUUUUUUAAAUUUUAUAGUUGGCAUUAUUAGUUAUUGGCAUAUUUUUCCCACUCACAUUGAUGCUUAUGCAAGCACACUCACGGGGUCUCUUAGAUGGCAUGCGCGAUCAUAUAUAAUUUUCGUUCUGCGUGGUAAGUAAAUUUUUAAAUCAACCAUUGAAUUUCUAACUUGAAAAAAAUGACACUGAACGUUGAUGCAGUCUGGUUGUGAAGGAAAAAGGUCGGGGUCCUUGUGGAGCGUUAGGUUAUAUUAUUGUAGUUGGUGAUGAAUGUCGGCCAAGGGCUUAGUGGAGCAUUGAGAAUCGCAUGUAGCUUGAAAAAUUGUGAAAUUAUUGGAGCUGUGACAACUGUGAUGUCUAUGUGAUGAACUGUAUGUUGUUUUAUUUGUACUAUGUCAUGCCAUCCAAUAACUGCUAGUCAUGCAUCUGGAUUUUUAUUGUUAUUGCUUGUCAUGAUUAUAUUAAUUGUGCUAUGUCAUGUGGUUAUGCUAUAAAAUUGGAAAAAUUGGGAUUUUUGGUGUUAUAACAAAAAAAAUAAAAUGAUUUUAUGGGUACGUGUGUAUCACAACCCCAAGUCGAGAUGGAGUAUUAUCUUGGUGGAGUUCCUUUAGUCACUUGAGAGUGUGUUAAAUUGAGUGACGUCUCUUGAGCUGUCAUCGGAUGAUAGCAGGCUUGGCCAAGACGAUAAAAUUCUUGGUACAACUUCAUGGCCCCUUUGUUGGCGUGGGUUAAAGGAUGUCUGGUUACUUACGCGUUGGGCGUGGAGCUGGGCAUCACUCGUUACGAAGUUAGGACUGUUCAUUCAGGCUGCGUAUUUCCCCGACUUGGUUUGGAACCCGAAAAAUCAAAUUUUUGUUUCGAGUUCAGGCCUGGAACAAUUCAAGGCCAGAACCCGGGUUGCAAAAUCUAGAUACACUAGGCUAGGAAGGUGCAUCCACAUUCUCUAUGCUACGGGGCUACAACUGUUGGCUGGCACUAAAAGGGAACUGGGAAGCAGAACCUUUUCUUGAUUUCUUCUGCCAUAUAUGUUUGCAGUCUCGAGGAAAUAGUUUGAGAGAUAGAGGUGGUUGAUUGACCUAUGACUGUCUUCUAUCAUUAAAGAAUGAAAAGACCAGUCCAUGAGUUUCCUUUUGAUCAAGUCAUCAAAGAUAUGAAAAUUUGAACCCAUUUCUUGGUCUUCCA